AAGCAGAGUGACCAGGUCAGUGGCUACAGCAGUAGCUCAGACAAAAGAUGAGGUGGCCUGGACUAGGGUGGUGGGAGUGGAGAUGGGGAGGGAGUGAACAGGGUCAGGACAUGCUUUGGAGGUAAAGUAGACAGCACUUGCUGGCAGUUUGGAUGUAGAGGCUAAGAGAAAAAGGAGAUCCACAGAUAUCUUCUAGAUUUUUGACUUGAGCAGUUGAAUACUGAUGGAAAUAGUUGGGGAGGAACAGGUUUGGGAACUCUGUGGGAGACGCCUUUUAAAUAUCCAAAUAGAGAUGUCAACUAAGAGUUGUAAUUAGAAGUUGGAGUUCUGGAGGGAGGUCUGGAUUGGAAAUAUAAAUUUGGGAAUCCUUAGUUUGGAGAAAGUUUGUAGAGCCAAGAGGCCGGGCUUUUCAAAGUGCAGUCCAUGGACCGGCAGCAUCAGCAUCAUCUGGGAGUUAGUUAGAAAUGCAGACUCUCAGGUCCAUCUCCAGACGUACUCAGUCAGAAUCUACAUUUUAACAAGAUCUGCAUGUAAGAUUUGUGUGCACAUUCAUGUUUGAGAAGUGCUUUUGUAGGGACUGAGAGCUGAGAAGAAAAGGGGGACCCUGAUUGAACCCUGGCAUUUGAAGAUGGCACAGAGAAGAGCAAAUUGGCAAAGGAGACUACAAGAUGACAGCCGGUGAGCAGGGACAUGCCAGUCUGGCAAGAUUUGAAGGCUGUGUUGGAGCCCCAAAGGCUGAGGAGCCUUCCUGAGCCUCACUGACACAUAUAGUACUGAGUCCCUGACCUGGGUGUGUUCCACUUCUUCAAGAUUUGGUUCCCCUAUCUGAGCCGUGAAACCAACAUUUCUCACCCACCACCCAAGUUUGUCCACCCUGGACCCCAUCAUCCCAGCUAGAAUCCUGAGCAUCAUCCCUGACUCCUUCCGCCACUUCUCACAUCCAAUCUGCAUCCUGGCCCAUCAAUUCUGUCUCCUAAAUAUUUUGGGGAUCCAUCCCCCCCUCUCCAUCCUCUCUGUCCUCAUAUUUUUGUUCUUUGCCACAGCCCACUAAUUCCCUCCAGCCUUUUGUAUCCCCAACAUCUUCCACUUAGAAUCACAAAUCUGACCAAGCAUCUGCCUGGAUGUGGCUACUCAUUAUCCACAAGAUAGAGCCCAGGCAUCCUAGCCGGACACUCAGUGUCCUGUGUGGUCUGGUCGUGCUGAGCCCCAGCAUCAGUUCUCACAGCUUGUCCCCAAACUGCUCGCAGACCUGAACUUGCCAUGCUCCUGCCUCCACUGGAUUCUGCUGCUGUGUCCUGGCUAACUUCUAC
rnacentral:lncRNA from 1 species